rnacentral:misc_RNA from 1 species
GAUGAAGAACGUAGCGAAAUGUGAUACUUAGUGUGAAUUGCAGAAUCCCGUGAACCAUCGAGUUUUUGAACGCAAGUUGCGCCCGAAGCCGUUAGGCCGAGGGCACGCCUGCCUGGGUGUCACACAUCGUUGCCCCAAUGCCAAUCGCCUCACUUUGUAGGUAUUUGCUUGGGGUGAAUGUUGGCCUCCCGUGAGCUUUGUCUCACGGUUGGUUGAAAAUCGAGUGCAUGGUGUCGGGUGUACCAUGAUGGAUGGUGGUUGAGUGAUGAUGCUCGAGACCAAUCAUGGGUAACUCCACCAGAAUUGGGCUCGGUGACCCACAUGCGUCCCUUGGAUGCUCCCUAAGGAGACCUCAGGUCAAGCGGGGCUACCCGCUGAGUUUAAGCAUAUCAAUAAGCGGAGGA